UACGGAGGGAGCUAGCGUUGUUCGGAAUUACUGGGCGUAAAGCGCGCGUAGGCGGCUUUGUAAGUUAGAGGCGAAAGCCCGGGGCUCAACCCCGGAACUGCCUUUAAGACUGCAUCGCUUGAAUCCGGGAGAGGUGAGUGGAAUUCCGAGUGUAGAGGUGAAAUUCGUAGAUAUUCGGAAGAACACCAGUGGCGAAGGCGGCUCACUGGACCGGCAUUGACGCUGAGGUGCGAAAGCGUGGGGAGCAAACAGG
rnacentral:rRNA from 1 species